rnacentral:tRNA from 1 species
CUGUGGGCGAGCAACGGCCUCCGGAGCCGUGUGCGCAGGUUCGAAUCCUGCCAG